GACGAACCGUGCGAACGUUAUUCGGAUUCAUUGGGCUUAAAGAGCACGUAGGCGGCGACAUAAGUCGGAGGUGAAAUACUGUCGGCUCAACCGCGGAAUUGCCUUUGAUACUGUGUUGCUUGAGGAGUUUAGGGGCGAGUGGAACUUCCGGUGGAGCGGUGAAAUGUGUUGAGAUCGGAAGGAACGCCAGUGGCGAAAGCGACUCGCUGGGAACUAUCUGACGCUGAGGUGCGAAAGCCAGGGGAGCAAACGGG
rnacentral:rRNA from 1 species